UCGAUGCUCGCUUAUUGUCGAUGCUUUAGAUAAAAUUCACAUAAAUGAUAAUGCAGGAGAUUGAAAUUCAUUUCAAAGACGUUCAUAUAUUUUUAUCAGGACUUUAUGAAAUUAAAGAGUUAUAUAAUUACUUGACAUUAACUUGUCACAAAGAUAAAUUAUCUAAGGAUUUUACAUUCAUUGAUUUCUGGUGAUGACGAACAGUUAUGUGUUUUUUCACUAACCAUUGGAAGAUUAUAGGCACAUUAUACUUUCUACAAAUAUUGUUGAAAGCAGUAUUAUUGUGCCGAAUGUAAAAUAUGAUUUUUGCCUUGUGAAAUAAUUAUCGAGAAUCUCAUCACUCGAUAUCAAACUUUAAAACUUUGUUGAGUGACUAAAUUGUAUACAAUGAGCUGGUCGCACGGGUCGUAUAAUGAAUGGUAGAGAUUAGUACCAAAAGCAUUUUAUGAUAAUAUUUUAGGUACAAGUACACCGGAAAUGCUUCGCGUUCCGCUCGCUAAUGUUAUUUUUCGUGCUAAAGUUUUUGAUAUCGAUGAGCCACGUGUACUUUUUUCGCAGUUCCUCGAUCCAUCUAGUUUUUCUAAUUUGACAAACGAUAUUCUAAUCUAAAAAAAAAAAAAGUCGGGGCCUUGGUAAUGAGGACGAUUCUUACCUAUCUUUCGAUGGAGAAUUAACUGAUCUUGAUAAAGUGAUGGCGCUUUUUCCGCUCGAUAUUCGAAUUUCGAAAUUUAUCGUGUUGGGCCACAUUUUUGAAGUGUUACAAGAUAUUAUUAUGAAAGCCAGUAUGUCUGUUAAGGAUGUUUUUAUUCUUGAGAGAUGCCACCCUACUGUUUCUUCAUAUACACGGAAAAAAAAAUGGACUCGUAAUUCUAACGGUGACUGCAUCGCUGUUUUAAACCUUUAUAAAAUGUGGCGGAAUGAAGAGGCAAACCGUCGUUUAAACACUUAUCAAGCCGAAAAACAAUGGCCCAAAGAAAUGGACUCUAUUUAAGGACUCUUCGUGAAUUGGAUGCUCUAGCGAAUAAAGUCAUUAAUUGAUUAUUCCAUUUGGGAAUUAAAGAGAGUACUGGAGUAAACAAAAUCAUCUGAGAAGAUAAAUAAAUUGCAUAAUUGAAUAAAUAUCGGAAUGCAACUGGACGAUAACUAAUGAUGAUGAUAUUAUAAUUUGUCAAAAUAAAAUUAAACACAUUUUACUCGAAUUGAGAAACAAAGAAAAUCAUGAAAUCCAGAAGAUGAUGAAGUCGAUUAUUUUAACAGUGAAUGGAAUCAUUAUAACAGAUCGCAUUUUUUGCCAUCUGCUCUAGAAAUGAUGAGAAAAGUGUGACAUAUAUUCGUUGCAUAAAGCAUUAAAACUACACGAAAUAGAUGAACAUAGCGAGGAUAUAUUGAAACAUCUUUUACAAUUACAGUAUCUUGCUAGCGAGGAUGCACAGAUAGUGGGAAAUGUAGCUGCUUUUUGUAAACUAUGUGGAAAGAAAAUUGGCUUAUUAGAA